GAUGAACGCUGGCGGCGUGCUUAACACAUGCAAGUCGAACGGGAAUUCUUUUAUUGCAACUUCGGUCGAUUUAAUUUAAUUCUAGUGGCGGACGGGUGAGUAACGCGUGGGUAACCUGCCUUAUACAGGGGGAUAACAGUCAGAAAUGGCUGCUAAUACCGCAUAAGCGCACAGAGCUGCAUGGCUCAGUGUGAAAAACUCCGGUGGUAUAAGAUGGACCCGCGUUGGAUUAGCUGGUUGGUGGGGUAACGGCCCACCAAGGCGACGAUCCAUAGCCGGCCUGAGAAGGUGAACGGCCACAUUGGGACUGAGACACGGCCCAGAGUCCUACGGGAGGCAGCAGUGGGGAAUAUUGCACAAUGGGGGAAACCCUGAUGCAGCGACGCCGCGUGAAGGAAGAAGUAUCUCGGUAUGUAAACUUCUAUCAGCAGGGAAGAUAGUGAUGGUACCUGACUAAGAAGCCCCGGCUAACUACGUG
rnacentral:rRNA from 1 species